AGUGAUUUUUGAUAAUGCUUAUAGUGAAUUAUUAUUUUUUCUUGCAAAAACUACUUUAUUAAAAUUGCUAAAUAACAACAGGUAUUGGCUUUAUUAGGGAUAUUUUCUUUAUUUCUGGUUUUUAUAUUGUUUUCAGCAAGAGGUGCUAAAUGACAGAUCCAAUCACAGUGUGGACGUGACUACUGCAGACUGUCCACACUGCAAUUGGAUUUUUAUAUAGGUUUUAUAGUCCUUAUCUCUUUUUGUCUUGAAAAUAUUAAGUGGCAGGGCAAUUUCAAAACUAAUCACUGGCUGCCCACAUUCAUAAUGGAGUUAACAGUCAAAUGAAGAUUUAGAUUCAAUGAGAGUGAACCCAGAUUACAUUUAAAAAAUUUGAAGAUUUUAACUUUGAAUUGUAUCUGGAUUCUAUAGUUGACAAAGUAAUGCUUUAUCAUAUAUCAUCUGGCUAAUAUUGUGAUUGGAUUGGCCCUAGGUCAAGGAUAGCCACUGAUGGGCUGGAUCCAGAUCUCUCUAAAAACAUGGAAGUAUGGAAUUUUCAAAUUGAAUCCAGUUUUUAAAGUAAUAAAAAACAAUUUUUUACAUAGUCUGUGCAGAUGGAAAUCUAUCAAUCACUUCCAAGCAGUGGUGCAUUUACCAUUAGGUACACUAGGCAUGUUCUACGAUCCUCAAUUUCAGAUGCCCAAAAAUCAAGAAUUUUUAUAUUAUUAAAUUAAAUAUAUAAUUCGUUUUGUAUUGCAUUUUUUGAUUUCAAUUUAAAAAAUAUUGAAUAUGUGCUAAUUUUGGUGUAAUAAUGGAAUUUAAAUUUGAAUUUUCGUUAGAAAUGCAUCUACU
rnacentral:lncRNA from 1 species